rnacentral:antisense_RNA from 1 species
GCCCAACAAUUCCAGUUCUAGAACUGAUCCUACAAAUAUGGUUCUACGCAUGCAAAAUGACGGGCAACAUCUCCAGCAUGAAGCCCACUGGCCUCAUGUCUGUACUUCUGGAGUCCAGGUGAGCAAAGGUCACCUGCCCACUGGACUUGGCCCACAUGGACUACACCUGAGCCACCAAUCCUCUCGGAGGCCUUCUUGCCUCUAUUUGCUGCAUUCCUUCUUCUCCCCUUUGGACUGCGAGCUCCUCAAGGGAACAGCCUAUAGCUUCCUAUUCAUCUCGCACUCACCUGACCUGCCACACUGGCCAGCCCACUGGAUGGGAGGUAACAGUGUACUGGACAUUCUGAGGGCUGCAGAGGCCUCCUGUGGACCCUGCUCUCUUGCAGCUGACCCAUCAGUGCGCUAUACUUCUACAAAUUGUUGGAAUGGAGACAGGUUUUUUUUUUUUUUCAGGAUAUUUGUUUGAGUCAAAAUGAUCUUGACGGGAAGCUCACUGUUAGAGGUUUCAUGG